rnacentral:rRNA from 1 species
CCUACGGGAGGCAGCAGUGGGGAAUUUUGGACAAUGGGCGCAAGCCUGAUCCAGCCAUGCCGCGUGUCUGAAGAAGGCCUUCGGGUUGUAAAGGACUUUUGUUAGGGAGCAAGUCCUGCAGGUUAAGAGCUAGUAGGGAUGAGAGUACCUAAAGAAUAAGCACCGGCUAACUACGUGCCAGCAGCCGCGGUAAU